rnacentral:tRNA from 1 species
AGGAUAGUAGUUAAAAUUAACAUUUAAUUUGCACUUAAAAAAUAUUGAAUAAUCAAUUUAUCUUA